rnacentral:rRNA from 1 species
AGCGAACGCUGGCGGCAGGCUUAACACAUGCAAGUCGAGCGCCCCGCAAGGGAGCGGCAGACGGGAGAGUAACACGUGGGAACAUACCUUUUGGUUCGGAACAACUGAGGGAAACUUCNGCUAAUACCGGAUAAGCCCUUACGGGGAAAGAUUAUCGCCGAAAGAUUGGCCCGCGUCUGAUUAGCUAGUUGGGUGAGGUAACGGCUCACCAAGGCGACGAUCAGUAGCUGGUCNGAGAGGAUGAUCAGCCUCAUUGGGACUGAGACACGG